rfam:Schistosoma haematobium scaffold605_8, whole genome shotgun sequence.
AUCCAGCUGUCGAGUCCGAAACAGGACGAAACACGUGUCCUGGAU